UCCCAGACUCCUACGGGAGGCAGCAGUGGGGAAUAUUGCACAAUGGGGGAAACCCUGAUCCAGCGACGCCGCGUGAGUGAAGAAGUAUUUCGGUACGUAAAGCUCUAUCAGCAGGAAAGAAAAUGACGGUACCUGACUAAGAAGCCCCGGCUAACUACGUGCCAGCAGCCGCGGUAAUACGUAGGGGGCAAGCGUUAUCCGGAUUUACUGGGUGUAAAGGGAGCGUAGACGGCAGCGCAAGUCUGAAGUGAAAUCCCAUGGCUUAACCAUGGAACUGCUUUGGAAACUGAGCAGCUAGAGUGCAGGAGAGGUAAGCGGAAUUCCUAGUGUAGCGGUGAAAUGCGUAGAUAUUAGGAGGAACACCGGUGGCGAAGGCGGCCUGCUGGACAGUAACUGACGUUGAGGCUCGAAAGCGUGGGGAGCAAACAGGAUUAGAUACCCGUGUAU
rnacentral:rRNA from 1 species